rnacentral:rRNA from 1 species
UACGGAAGGCAGCAGUGGGGAAUAUUGCACAAUGGGCGAAAGCCUGAUGCAGCUAUGCCGCGUGUAUGAAGAAGGCCUUAGGGUUGUAAAGUACUUUCAUCGGGGAGGAAAAAACAAAACUAAUAAUUUUAUUUCUUGACGUUACCCGAAAAAGAAGCACCGGCUAACUCCGUGCCAGCAGCCGCGGUAAUACGGAGGGUGCUAGCGUUAAUCAGAAUUACUGGGCGUAAAGCGCACGCAGGCGGUCUGUCAAGUCGGAUGUGAAAUCCCCGGGCUUAACCUGGGAACUGCAUUCGAAACUGGCAGGCUAGAGUCUUGUAGAGGGGGUUAGAAUUCCAGGUGUAGCGGUGAAAUGCGUAGAGAUCUGGAGGAAUACCGGUGGCGAAGGCGGCCCCUGGACAAAGCUGACGCUCAGGGUGCGAAAGCGUGGGGAGCAAACAGGGAUUAGAUACC